UGACUUCCUGUCUUUGCCAGUAGUUCUGCGUGUCUUGGAGUAGUUCCUUCAGGCUGCAGCACCGCUGUUACAGAUGCUCAGUGCGCUCUGUGCAGACCUGCAGGAGCUGGAGGUGAAGGCGGGCGCGUCAUCACAGACGCUGCAUGCUGAGGUGGAAGGACGCGUCGCUGGAUCCUUUGGCCGGAGUCGUACGGUGGGGAAGUUUUCUGUGGUGGCGAUUUGCACCACCACCACCCAAUCAAAGCACCGUGCAGUCCCUACAUUGAUGGAUUGAAGACCAGAUAUCCACAUGGCCAUCAUCAUCAAGUUCUUCCAUGUGAAUCCUGAAAACCAUAAGGACUGAUUGAGAUUAUUCAUGUUAGGUAGAAUGCCUAGAGGGGGCUGGGCGGUUUUUUUGUCCUGUCCAUAAGACCUUACUUUUUUCUAUGUUAAUUAGUAUUGCCUAAUUUUAUUUUUAUAUGUUGUCUUUUUUCUCUUUCUUCAUCCUGUAAAGCACUUUGAGCUACAUCAUUUGUAUGAAAAUGUGCUAUAUAAAUAAAUAUUGUUGUUGUUGCUGA